rnacentral:sRNA from 1 species
CUCUUUUCAACGCUGUAGAAAAGGACAGAGGCUGUUCCUUAUGGCAGAAGGCAACCACAGAAAAAAACCACUUAAGAUGUUGGAAUCCCUGGGCAAAGAUUUCCUCACUGGUGUUUUGGAUAACUUGGUGGAACAAAAUGUGCUGAACUGGAAGGAAGAGGAAAAAAAGAAAUAUUAUGAUGCUAAAACUGAAGACAAAGUUCGGGUCAUGGCAGACUCUAUCCAAGAGAAGCAACGUAUGGCAGGACAAAUGCUUCUUCAAACCUUUUUUAACAUAGACCAAAUAUCCCCCAAUAAAAAUGGAUAUGGAGUCAGCGCUGAGGGCAUUUGCUGCCCGACCAGAGCACAAGUCCUCCGACAGCACGUUCUUAGUACUCAUGUCUCAUGGCAUCCUGGAGGGAAUCUGCGGAACUGCGCAUGAUGAGAAAAAACCAGAUGUGCUGCUUUAUGACACCAUCUUCCAGAUAUUCAACAACCGCAACUGCCUCAGUCUAAAGGACAAACCCAAGGUCAUCAUUGUCCAGGCCUGCAGAGGUGCAAACCGUGGGGAACUGUGGGUCAGAGACUCUCCAGCAUCCUUGGAAGUGGCCUCUUCACAGUCACCUGAGAACC